GGGUUGUGAGGUUAAGCGACUAAGCGUACACGGUGGAUGCCCUGGCAGUCAGAGGCGAUGAAGGACGUGCUAAUCUGCGAUAAGCGUCGGUAAGGUGAUAUGAACCGUUAUAACCGGCGAUUUCCGAAUGGGGAAACCCAGUGUGUUUCGACACACUAUCAUUAACUGAAUCCAUAGGUUAAUGAGGCGAACCGGGGGAACUGAAACAUCUAAGUACCCCGAGGAAAAGAAAUCAACCGAGAUUCCCCCAGUAGCGGCGAGCGAACGGGGAGCAGCCCAGAGCCUGAAUCAGUAUGUGUGUUAGUGGAAGCGUCUGGAAAGGCGCGCGAUACAGGGUGACAGCCCCGUACACAAAAAUGCACAUGCUGUGAGCUCGAUGAGUAGGGCGGGACACGUGGUAUCCUGUCUGAAUAUGGGGGGACCAUCCUCCAAGGCUAAAUACUCCUGACUGACCGAUAGUGAACCAGUACCGUGAGGGAAAGGCGAAAAGAACCCCGGCGAGGGGAGUGAAAAAGAACCUGAAACCGU
rnacentral:rRNA from 1 species